rnacentral:rRNA from 1 species
GAUGAACGCUGGCGGCGUGGAUAAGGCAUGCAAGUCGAACGAACCCUUCGGGGUGAGUGGCGAACGAGGUAGUAACACGUGGGAACCUACCCCUUAGUCAGGAAUAACCAUGGGAAACCAUGGCUAAUACCUGAUAGUCUCUUCGGAGUAAAGAUUUAUCGCUAAGGGAAGGGCCUGCGGGAUAUCAGCUUGUUGGUAGUGUAAUGGACUACCAAGGCUAUGACGUCUAGGGGAGCUGAGAGGCUGACCCCCACCGAUGGUACUGAGACACGGACCAUACACCUACGGGUGGCCGCAGUCGAGAAUCUUCCGCAAUGGGCGAAAGCCUGACGGAGCGACGCCGCGUGAUGGAUGAAGUUUUUCGGAAUGUAAACAUCUUUUCUGGAGGAGGAAUUUUAUUGACGUUACUCCAGGAAUAAGGGGUUGCUAAACUCG